GAUGAAGACCGCAGCGAAAUGCGAUAAGUAAUGCGAAUUGCAGAAUCCGUGAGUCAUCGAAUCUUUGAACGCACAUUGCGCCCCUUGGUUAUUCCGAAGGGCAUGCCUGUUCGAGCGUCAUUAUCACCCCUCAAGCCCUGGCUUGGUGUUGGACUUUAGUUAUAGCUUUGCCUAUCAACUGGUCUCAAAGAUAGUGACGGCGCCCCAGAGGGAACCGGGUACGAGGAGCUUUUUACUAAGCAUGUAUCUGGGACGACUCUGGGCGACGGUCUUGUUAUACUUUUUACCUAAGUGUUGACCUCGGAUCAGGUAGGAAUACCCGCUGAACUUAAGCAUAUCAAUAAGCGGAGGA
rnacentral:misc_RNA from 1 species